rnacentral:rRNA from 1 species
UACGAAGGGGGGCUAGCGUUGCUCGGAAUCACUGGGCGUAAAGCGCACGUAGGCGGAUUGCUAAGUCAGGGGUGAAAUCCUGGAGCUCAACUCCAGAACUGCCUUUGAUACUGGCGAUCUUGAGUCCGGGAGAGGUGAGUGGAACUGCGAGUGUAGAGGUGAAAUUCGUAGAUAUUCGCAAGAACACCAGUGGCGAAGGCGGCUCACUGGCCCGGUACUGACGCUGAGGUGCGAAAGCGUGGGGAGCGAACAGG